rnacentral:rRNA from 1 species
AGAGUUUGAUCCUGGCUCAGAUUGAACGCUGGCGGCAUGCCUAACACAUGCAAGUCGAACGGUAACAGGCCGCAAGGUGCUGACGAGUGGCGGACGGGUGAGUAAUACGUAGGUAUCUGCCCUGUAGUGGGGGAUAACCCGGGGAAACUCGGGCUAAUACCGCAUACGCUCUUUUAUCGUUGAGAUAGGAGAGGAAAGCGAGGGACCGAAAGGCCUCGCGCUAGAGGAUGAGCCUACGCCCGAUUAGCUAGUUGGUAGGGUAAAGGCCUACCAAGGCGACGAUCGGUAGCUGGUCUGAGAGGAUGGCCAGCCACACUGGGACUGAGACACGGCCCAGACUCCUACGGGAGGCAGCAGUGGGGAAUAUUGGACAAUGGGGGAAACCCUGAUCCAGCAAUGCCGCGUGGGUGAAGAAGGCCUGCGGGUUGUAAAGCCCUUUCAGUGGGGAAGAAAAACGGGGUGUGAACAGCGCUUCGUCUUGACGUUACCUACAGAAGAAGCACCGGCUAACUCCGUGCCAGCAGCCGCGGUAAUACGGAGGGUGCGAGCGUUAAUCGGAAUUACUGGGCGUAAAGGGCGCGUAGGCGGUUGGGUAAGUCGGGUGUGAAAGCCCUGGGCUUAACCUGGGAAUGGCAUUCGAGACCACCUAUCUAGAGUCUGGUAGAGGGAAGUGGAAUUUCCGGUGUAGCGGUGAAAUGUGUAGAUAUCGGAAGGAACACCAGUGGCGAAGGCGACUUCCUGGACCAAGACUGACGCUGAGGCGCGAAAGCGUGGGGAUCAAACAGGAUUAGAUACCCCAGUAGUCC